AUUGAACGCUGGCGGCAGGCCUAACACAUGCAAGUCGAGCGAGCGGCGGACGGGUGAGGACUGUAUGGGGACUGCCCGAUAGAGGGGGAUAACGACUGGAAACGGUAGCUAAUACCGCAUACAAACGGAUAACCCAUAGGGGAUUAGCUAGUAGGGUAGGAAAUGGCUCACCUAGGCGACGAUCCCUAGCUGGUCUGAGAGGAUGAUCAGCCACACUGGGACUGAGACACGGCCCAGACUCCGACGGAGGCAGCAGUGGGGAAUAUUGCACAAUGGGCGCAAGCCUGAUGCAGCCAUGCCGCGUGUAUGAAGAAGGCCCUAGGGUUGUAAAGUACUUUCAGUCGGGAGGCGUUACCGACAGAAGAAGCACCGGCUAACUCCGUGCCAGCAGCCGCGGUAAUUC
rnacentral:rRNA from 1 species